rnacentral:rRNA from 2 species
ACGGGAGGCAGCAGUGGGGAAUAUUGCACAAUGGGGGAAACCCUGAUGCAGCAACGCCGCGUGAAGGAAGACGGUCUUCGGAUUGUAAACUUUUGUUCUUAGUGAAGAUAAUGACGGUAGCUAAGGAGAAAGCCACGGCUAACUACGUGCCAGCAGCCGCGGUAAUACGUAGGUGGCAAGCGUUGUCCGGAAUUACUGGGUGUAAAGGGAGCGCAGGCGGGAAAUCAAGUUGGAUGUGAAAUGUCGGGGCUUAACCCCGGAACUGCAUCCAAAACUGAUUUUCUUGAGUGAAGUAGAGGUAGGCGGAAUUCCGAGUGUAGCGGUGAAAUGCGUAGAUAUUCGGAGGAACACCAGUGGCGAAGGCGGCCUGCUGGGCUUUAACUGACGCUGAGGCUCGAAAGUGUGGGGAGCAAACAGGAUUAGAUACCCUGGUA